rnacentral:rRNA from 1 species
AUUGAACGCUGGCGGCAGGCUUAACACAUGCAAGUCGAGCGAGCGGCGGACGGGUGAGUAAUGUCUGGGAACCUGCCUGAUGGAGGGGGAUAACUCCUGGAAACGGUAGCUAAUACCGCAUACCAUCAGAUGUGCCCAGAUGGGAUUAGCUAGUAGGUGGGGUAAUGGCUCACCUAGGCGACGAUCCCUAGCUGGUCUGAGAGGAUGACCAGCCACACUGGGACUGAGACACGGUCCAGACUCAUACGGGAGGCAGCAGUUGGGAAGAUUGCACAAUGGGCGCAAGCCUGAUGCAGCCAUGCCGCGUGUAUGAAGAAGGCCUUCGGGUUGUAAAGCACUUUCAGCGAGGAGGCGUUACUCGCAGAAGAAGCACCGGCUAACUCCGUGCCAGCCGCCGCGGUAAUUC